rnacentral:rRNA from 1 species
UUUAUGGAGAGUUUGAUCCUGGCUCAGGAUGAACGCUGGCGGCGUGCCUAAUACAUGCAAGUCGAGCGAACGGACGAGAAGCUUGCUUCUCUGAUGUUAGCGGCGGACGGGUGAGUAACACGUGGAUAACCUACCUAUAAGACUGGGAUAACUUCGGGAAACCGGAGCUAAUACCGGAUAAUAUUUUGAACCGCAUGGUUCAAAAGUGAAAGACGGUCUUGCUGUCACUUAUAGAUGGAUCCGCGCUGCAUUAGCUAGUUGGUAAGGUAACGGCUUACCAAGACAACGAUGCAUAGCCGACCUGAGAGGGUGAUCGGCCACACUGGAACUGAGACACGGUCCAGACUCCUACGGGAGGCAGCAGUAGGGAAUCUUCCGCAAUGGGCGAAAGCCUGACGGAGCAACGCCGCGUGAGUGAUGAAGGUCUUCGGAUCGUAAAACUCUGUUAUUAGGGAAGAACAUAUGUGUAAGUAACUGUGCACAUCUUGACGGUACCUAAUCAGAAAGCCACGGCUAACUACGUGCCAGCAGCCGCGGUAAUACGUAGGUGGCAAGCGUUAUCCGGAAUUAUUGGGCGUAAAGCGCGCGUAGGCGGUUUUUUUUAAGUCUGAUGUGAAAGCCCACGGCUCAACCGUGGAGGGUCAUUGGAAACUGGAAAACUUGAGUGCAGAAGAGGAAAGUGGAAUUCCAUGUGUAGCGGUGAAAUGCGCAGAGAUAUGGAGGAACACCAGUGGCGAAGGCGACUUUCUGGUCUGUAACUGACGCUGAUGUGCGAAAGCGUGGGGAUCAAACAGGAUUAGAUACCCUGGUAGUCCACGCCGUAAACGAUGAGUGCUAAGUGUUAGGGGGUUUCCGCCCCUUAGUGCUGCAGCUAACGCAUUAAGCACUCCGCCUGGGGAGUACGACCGCAAGGUUGAAACUCAAAGGAAUUGACGGGGACCCGCACAAGCGGUGGAGCAUGUGGUUUAAUUCGAAGCAACGCGAAGAACCUUACCAAAUCUUGACAUCCUUUGACAACUCUAGAGAUAGAGCUUUCCCCUUCGGGGGACAAAGUGACAGGUGGUGCAUGGUUGUCGUCAGCUCGUGUCGUGAGAUGUUGGGUUAAGUCCCGCAACGAGCGCAACCCUUAAGCUUAGUUGCCAUCAUUAAGUUGGGCACUCUAAGUUGACUGCCGGUGACAAACCGGAGGAAGGUGGGGAUGACGUCAAAUCAUCAUGCCCCUUAUGAUUUGGGCUACACACGUGCUACAAUGGACAAUACAAAGGGCAGCGAAACCGCGAGGUCAAGCAAAUCCCAUAAAGUUGUUCUCAGUUCGGAUUGUAGUCUGCAACUCGACUACAUGAAGCUGGAAUCGCUAGUAAUCGUAGAUCAGCAUGCUACGGUGAAUACGUUCCCGGGUCUUGUACACACCGCCCGUCACACCACGAGAGUUUGUAACACCCGAAGCCGGUGGAGUAACCUUUUUAGGAGCUAGCCGUCGAAGGUGGGACAAAUGAUUGGGGUGAAGUCGUAACAAGGUAGCCGUAUCGGAAGGUGCGGCUGGAUCACCUCCUUU